GAUGAACGCUGGCGGCGUGCUUAACACAUGCAAGUCGAACGAAGCACUUAAUGAGAUUUCUUCGGAUUGAUUAUUUUGUGACUGAGUGGCGGACGGGUGAGUAACGCGUGGGUAACCUGCCCCAGACCGGGGGAUAACAGUCGGAAACGACUGCUAAUACCGCAUAAGCGCACAGUGCCGCAUGGCACGGUGUGAAAAACUCCGGUGGUCUGGGAUGGACCCGCGUCCGAUUAGUUAGAUGGCGGGGUAACGGCCCACCAUGGCGACGAUCGGUAGCCGGACUGAGAGGUUGAACGGCCACAUUGGGACUGAGACACGGCCCAGACUCCUACGGGAGGCAGCAGUGGGAAUAUUGCACAAUGGGGGAAACCCUGAUGCAGCGACGCCGCGUGAGGGAAGAAGAUUUUCGGAUUGUAAACCUCUGUCUUCAGGGACGAUAAUGACGGUACCUGAGGAGGAAGCCACGGCUAACUACGUG
rnacentral:rRNA from 1 species